rnacentral:rRNA from 1 species
UACGGGGUGGCAAGCGUUGUUCGGAAUUACUGGGCGUAAAGGGCUCGUAGGCGGCCAACUAAGUCGGACGUGAAAUCCCUCGGCUUAACCGGGGAACUGCAUCCGAUACUGGAGGGCUUGAGUUUGGGAGAGGGAUGCGGAAUUCCAGGUGUAGCGGUGAAAUGCGUAGAUAUCUGGAGGAACACCGGUGGCGAAGGCGGCAUCCUGGACCAACACUGACGCUGAGGAGCGAAAGCCAGGGGAGCAAACGGG